GUNUACUUUGANANNAUUAGAGUGUUCAAAGCAGGCAAUUCGCCUGAAUAAUGGUGCAUGGAAUAAUGGAAUAGGACCUCGGUUCNNUUUUGUUGGUUUUCGGAACUUGAGGUNAUGAUUAAUAGGGGCAGACGGGNGCAUUCGUAUUGCGGUGUUAGAGGUGAAAUUCUUGGAUCGCCGCAAGACGAACAACUGCGAAAGCAUUUGCCAAGAAUGUUUUCAUUAAUCAAGACACGAAAGUCAGAGGUUCGAAGACGAUCAGAUACCGUCGUAGUUCUGACCAUAAACGAUGCCAACUAGCGAUCCGCCGGAGUUGCUUCAAUGACUCGGCGGNCAGUUCCGGGAAACCAAAGUUUUUG
rnacentral:rRNA from 1 species